rnacentral:rRNA from 1 species
CCCUUAGAUGUUCUGGGCCGCACGCGUGCUACACUGAGUGGAUCAGCGGGUCAGGUUGCGCGAAAGCGUUUCCUAAUCUUUAAAUCCGCUCGUGAUGGGGAUUGACGGUUGCAAUUUUCUGUCAUGAACGAGGAAUACCUUGUAAGCGCGGGUCACCAUCCCGCGCUGAAUACGUCCCUGCCCUUUGUACACACCGCCCGUCGCUCCUACCGAUUGAGUGGUCCGGUGAGGCUUUGGGAUCUGCGCGGAAAGAGCGUUUCGCUGUUUCUGCUCGGAAAACUCAGUCGAACCUUAUCAUUUAGAGGAAGGAGAAGUCGUAACA